UAACUCAUCUCACCCUGGUGAAAAACACCCUCAUGCUUGCAUCGGUAUUAAGUGAUACAAUUAUGCACAAAGCCUUGGUGAUUAGCACUGUAACGAAUUUCCCCGUUAAUUUACAGCCAGACACAUUUCCUGUAUUCUACAGCAUACCUACUGUAAAGUACAACAGCAUAAAACUAAAAAAAGAAAACGGUACACUGCUGCAGUGCAAAAGACAUUCAAAAUAUUUUGAAAACUGUUAUAUACAAUUGAACACUGAACACAUUCUCAACAAUCUGCAACCAAACAAAUUCUGGAACUACAUUUUCCAGUUGGCCUCCCUUGUUGAAAAAAAAAAAAAGCAUGAUUAACCAUCAGGUGAGGCUGUUGUGACGACGCUGCUCCCCUGUGGUUGCUCAGGACAGCGUCAAGGGAAGCCACGGAGUCGUUGGCAUCACACCAAUCAAAUCACAGUAUGUCAUCAACGUCAUUGAACGAAACAACGGAAUAUCUGUGUUGGUAAGCCAGCGAAAGUAUUAAGCGCAAUGAUGAAGGCGGAGAUUUGGAGUAUUUAGUAAAAAAUCAUUUGACUAAACUGCUUUUACAGCAGCAACUCUGAAUUAAUUGAAUGAAUUUAAUUGACGGCAGGCCAACACCAAAACUAGAGCUCCGUACUGAGAGGAAGAAAGGUUCUCAGACUUUCAAUGAGGAGAAUUACGUCCGCAGCGAGUGGCUACACGUAGAGCGUUGUGUUUGACGUGGACGUAAAACUUAAUGGCUUCUGAUUGCGUGUGUGUGUGUGUGUGUGUGUGUGUGUGUGUGUGUGUGUGUGUGUGAGAGAGUGAGGUAAAAUGAUGCGGGGCCUAAAAGUUCACCCGACUACAUGAAAUAGCAACAUAUAAAUUGCAACAUAUGAAUUUCUGUAAAACACACACAGCUUUGAGGUUGUGUUUCACUUGGCCUCCUUGAAAAUGUUCCCCACGCCACUGCUGAAAGUGUUUUGUUUUUUUAAUCCGCGUGAGAGUUGCCGCCUUCUUGGACCAGCUUCCCUGUCCUUGUAGACACCACCGUCCCCUGGUUGUCCCUCUUUCUGGGUUCAGCCCAAGGAAGCGCUAAUAUGUAAUAAAUUAUAAUGACCUUUGUGUCUACUAAUGAGAGAAUAUUAUUGUCAUCUACGUAAAUAUUUUAUUUAUAUGAAAUAACAUGUGCCCCUCUGUAAGAAUCCAGCAUUUUCACAUAAGUCUAAUUAGAUUUCAGAACAUGAAUAAAGGAUCAUAUCUUACGUGGGACCAUUGAAUUAACGCGGUUCAGCAGAAAGCUAACGUAACGUUAGCUUAGGUUAGCACCGCAAAUAAAUGUAGUUCCAUCCGCAAAUAUGAAUCGUAAAAUGUUAUCCUAAAUCCUUCUGUGUGCAUUUGUAUAUCGAAUACAUUUGUGAGUUGUUCUGUGCGCAUUUGCAAUUAUUGAGACGGAUCUGACCCCAUAUAUCCGCCCGCCUACCGAUCUCUCAUCGUCAAACAGGGGACCCGCUACGGACACGAGUUCAUCCGCCAAGCAAACGCGCCUUUUCCCUGCAGGCAGCUGACAGGCAGCUAACAGACAGCCUACAUUAGGACCCACGGGGUGAUUAAAAGGGGGGUGGGGUAAUUACCUGGGCCUCUCCUUCUCAACGCAACUUUGAACGAGACCUGAACGCAACGAGCAACCACCACGAGGCCAUUGUUUGAUUUGAAUGGCUCAAUUUUAUGACCUCCCAGGUGAUGCUGGUUAGCCUGUCUGGGUGUUUUGCUUUCACGUAAACUGUGAUUUUAACAAACGGAUCCGCUGCAUUUCAAGUGAGAAGCCUUUUUGUAGGGAAACGUUUUCACAGCAACCUUUUUGAUAAAAUGAAUAGAAAGACAGGGCCGGUCUCCAGCUCCACCAUAAGACUGCGGGUCCAUCAAGAUCUUCAAAAAGAGACUUGAACAAAUUAGUCAAAAGUGACCAGUCCUCCUCCAUCCUCCUCCAUCAGCUGACACCACAAAGCAGAGUUGCAGAUGUCAGUGGAGAGAAGUGUCUGCGCAGAUGUCAGACCAUUCCAGGUUGCCCCUCCAACCUUUGCCCCUCUUCCACACACUCCUCCACCCGCACAACUGAACAGUAGACGACAGGCAGGAGGAACACCGUCUUCAAGCCAGUACAGGCCAACUUGGCGAGAGCGGCGGUGUGGAUCUGGCACCGUUGCCUGCUGUGCUGCUCACGUUCAGAUGCUGGGUUUGCUGGAGGAUAUGAAGCAGAUGCUGCGACAAUUAACGGCGAUGGUUGAACAGCUCGCCACAAACAAAGAUACAACCGGCCAAGAAGAAGUGACUGGGGACCCGGUUCAGUUUCUGUCUUUUUGUUUCUGACACUUCAGUCACCCGGAGGUCUUGGGUAGUCUUACAACUUACAAAGUUGUAUGUUUCCCAGAUCUUUAUCAACCUGGCAGCAGUCCGGAGGGGCUCCAGGAGGCGUGCCGCUAAUAUUCAACACUCAUGAAGAUGUAUUCAAAUGGUGUAUACUUGUACAAAUCUUUAUUAAAAUGUUUUGAUUAA